AGUUCGAUUAUGGCUCAGAUUGAACGCUGGCGGGAUGCUUUACACAUGCAAGUCGAACGGCAGCACGGACUUCGGUCUGGUGGCGAGUGGCGAACGGGUGAGUAAUGUAUCGGAACGUGCCUAGUAGCGGGGGAUAACUACGCGAAAGCGUAGCUAAUACCGCAUACUGCCCUUCGGGGGAAAGCGGGGGACCUUCGGGCCUCGCACUAUUAGAGCGGCUGAUAUCGGAUUAGCUAGUUGGUGGGGUAACGGCUCACCAAGGCGACGAUCCGUAGCUGGUUUGAGAGGGACGACCAGCCACACUGGGACUGAGACACGGCCUAGACUCCUACGAGUACAGGGAAUUUUGGACAAUGGGGGAAACCCUGAUCCAGCCAUCCCGCGUGUGCGAUGAAGGCCUCGGGUUGUAAAGCACUUUGCAGGAAAGAAACGGCCGGAGCACACCGUGCAACUGACGGCACCUACAGAUAAGCACCGGCUAACUACGUGCCAGCAGCCGCGGUAAUAUGGAAAAGGGGCGUUAAUUCCCGGAAUUACUGGCGGAAGCGUGGCGCAGGCGGUUCAAGAAAGAUGUGGAAUCCCGUGAGCUUAACUUUGGAACUGCAUUUUUAACUACCGAGCUAGAGCGUGUCAGAGGGAGGUGGAAUUCGGGUGUAGCAGUGAAAUGCGUAGAUAUGCGGAGGAACACCGAUGCGAAGGCAGCCUCCUGGGAUAACACUGACGCUCAUGCACGAAAGCGUGGGGAGCAAACAGACGAUAAUUCUGGUAGUCCGGCUCUAAACGAUGUCAAUAGCUGUUGGGGUCAGCCUCUGGUAGCGCAGCUAACGCGUGAAGUUGACCGCCUGGGGAGUACGGUCGCAAGAUUAAAACUCAAAGGAAUUGACGGGGACCCGCACAAGCGGUGGAUGAUGUGGAUUAAUUCGAUGCAACGCGAAAAACCUUACCUACCCUUGACAUGUCUGGAACUCAAAGAGAUUUGGGGUGCUCGCAAGAGAAUCCGGGAACACAGGUAUGUACGGCUGCCGUCAGCUCGUGUCGGUAUGUUGGGUUAAGUCCCGCAACGAGCGCAACCUUGUCAUUAGUUGCUACGAAAGGGCACUGACGAGACUGCCGGUGACAAACCGAGGAAGGUGGGGAUGACGUCAAGUCCUCAUGGCCUCUUAUGGGUAGGGCUUCACACGUCAUACAAUGGUCGGGACAGAGGGUCGCCAACCCGCGAGGGGGAGCUAACCAGAACCGAUCGUAGUCCGGAUCGCAGGCCUGCAACUCGACUGCGUGAAGUCGGAAUCGCUAGUAAUCGCGGAUCAGCAUGUCGCGGUGAAUACGUCUCGGGUCUUGUACACACUGCCCGUGCCGAAGCACCAUGGGAGUGGGCUUACCAGAAGUAGUUAGCCUAACCGUAAGGAGGGCGAUUACCAUGGUAGAUCUAAGUGCGACUGGGGCAGUCGUAAUGCGUAG
rnacentral:rRNA from 1 species